UACGUAGGGGGCAAGCGUUGUCCGGAAUCAUUGGGCGUAAAGCGCGUGUAGGCGGCCCGGUAAGUCCGCUGUGAAAGUCGGGGGCUCAACCCUCGAAUGCCGGUGGAUACUGUCGGGCUAGAGUGCGGGAGAGGCGAGUGGAAUUCCUGGUGUAGCGGUGAAAUGCGCAGAUAUCAGGAAGAACACCCGUGGCGAAGGCGGCUCUCUGGGACGGUACUGACGCUGAGACGCGAAAGCGUGGGGAGCGAACAGG
rnacentral:rRNA from 1 species